UACGUAGGGCGCAAGCGUUGUCCGGAAUUAUUGGGCGUAAAGAGCUCGUAGGCGGUCUGUCGCGUCUGUUGUGAAAACUCGAGGCUCAACCUCGGGCCUGCAGCCGAUACGGGCAAGCUAGAAUUCGGUAGGGGAGACUGGAAUUCCUGGUGUAGCGGUGAAAUGCGCAGAUAUCAGGAGGAACACCGGUGGCGAAGGCGGAUCUCUGGACAGUUCCUGACGCUGAGGCGCGAAGGCCAGGGGAGCAAACGGG
rnacentral:rRNA from 1 species